rnacentral:rRNA from 1 species
GAGGAAUAUUGGUCAAUGGACGAGAGUCUGAACCAGCCAAAUCGCGUGAAGGAAGACUGCCCUACGGGUUGUAAACUUCUUUUGUACAGGAAUAAAAGAAUCUACGUGUAGAUUAUUGCAUGUACUGUACGAAUAAGCAUCGGCUAACUCCGUGCCAGCAGCCGCGGUAAUACGGAGGAUGCGAGCGUUAUCCGGAUUUAUUGGGUUUAAAGGGUGCGCAGGCGGGAUUUUAAGUCAGCGGUGAAAUUUUCAGGCUCAACCUGAACACUGCCGUUGAAACUGGGAUUCUUGAGUAUGGAUGAAGUAGGCGGAAUUCGUUGUGUAGCGGUGACAUGCUUAGAUAUAACGAGGAACUCCGAUUGCGUAGGCAGCUUACUAAGCCAUAACUGACGCUCAAGCACGAAAGCGUGGGGAUCAAAC